AUUGAACGCUGGCGGCAGGCUAACACAUGCAAGUCGAGCGGAUGAAGGGAGCUUGCUCCUGGAUUCAGCGCGACGGUGAAAUCUAGAAUUCCUGGUAGUGGGGGAUAACGUCCGGAAACGGGCGCUAAUACCGCAUACGUCCUGAGGGAGAAAGUGGGGGAUCUUCGGACCUCACGUAUCAGAUGAGCCUAGGUCGGAUUAGCUAGUUGGUGGGGUAAAGGCUACCAAGGCGACGACCGUAACUGGUCUGAGAGGAUGAUCAGUCACACUGGAACUGAGACACGGUCCAGACUCCUACGGGAGGCAGCAGUGGGGAAUAUUGGACAAUGGGCGAAAGCCUGAUCCAGCCAUGCCGCGUGUGUGAAGAAGGUCUUCGGAUUGUAAAGCACUUUAAGUUGGGAGGAAGGGCAGUAAGUUAAUACCUUGCUGUUUUGACGUUACCAACGAAUAGCACCGAAU
rnacentral:rRNA from 1 species